GACGAACGCUGGCGGCGUGCUUAACACAUGCAAGUCGAACGGUAAGGCCCUUCGGGGUACACGAGUGGCGAACGGGUGAGUAACACGUGGGUGAUCUGCCCUGCACUUCGGGAUAAGCCUGGGAAACUGGGUCUAAUACCGGAUAGGACCACUGCCUGCAUGGGUGGUGGUGGAAAGCUUUUGCGGUGUGGGAUGGGCCCGCGGCCUAUCAGCUUGUUGGUGGGGUGAUGGCCUACCAAGGCGACGACGGGUAGCCGGCCUGAGAGGGUGACCGGCCACACUGGGACUGAGAUACGGCCCAGACUCCUACGGGAGGCAGCAGUGGGGAAUAUUGCACAAUGGGCGCAAGCCUGAUGCAGCGACGCCGCGUGAGGGAUGACGGCCUUCGGGUUGUAACCUCUUUCAGCACCGACGAAGCGCAGGUGACGGUAGGUGCAGAAGAAGGACCGGCCAACUACGUGCCAGCCGCCGCGGUAA
rnacentral:rRNA from 1 species